AGGAAAGGCAACUCAGUGAUCCCUUCAGCUCCAAUGAUGAACUUUGUGCGUGCCCAGAUCAAGAAAGCAGCUGAUGAGACCGAGACUAUUCUGGAAACAACCCCGGCUGGCAAAAGCGAUGGGGAAGGUGCACUUCGAGCAUUCAUUAAGCGCCAGGGCCAAAAGUUAAGGCGGCUAUCAAACCUUUUCGGUUGUCGUGACCCCGAGUAUGUAUCACUAGAACGGUCUAGGUCGGCGACACCAUCAGAUCCCGCUUCGGGGCAGGG